UAUUGAUUGGUCGAAAGACCUUAUCAGAUUCUACCCCUCUGUGAACCGUUGACCUCCGGGUUAAUAAUCAAACAUCAGUGUAACGAACGUAAGAGUAUCUUAAUUAAACAAAACUUUUAACAACGGAUCUCUUGGCUCUCGCAUCGAUGAAGAACGCAGCGAAAUGCGAUAAGUAAUGUGAAUUGCAGAAUUCAGUGAAUCAUCGAAUCUUUGAACGCACCUUGCGCCUUUUGGUAUUCCGAAAGGCAUGCCUGUUUCAGUGUCAUGAAAUCUCAAUCUAAUAUGUUUUCUGAACAUGUUAGGCUUGGACUUGGGUGUCUGCCAGCAAUGGCUCACCUCAAAUGACUUAGUGGAACAUCCCACAUCAGUGUUAGACGUAAUAAGUUUCGUCUCUCCUUGUGGUGAUGACUGCUCAAAACCUGCCAUCGCGCACCUUUUGACUUUGACCUGAAAUCAGGUAGGGCUACCCGCUGAACUUAAGCAUAUCAAUAAGCGGAGGAAAAGAAACUAACAAGGAUUCCCCUAGUAACGGCGAGUGAACCGGGAAGAGCUCAAAUUUGAAAUCUGGCGUGCUCAGUGGCGUCCGAGUUGUAAUCUAUAGAGUCGUUUUCCGUGCCGGACUGUGUCCAAGUCCCUUGGAACAGGGUAUCAAAGAGGGUGAUAAUCCCGUACUUGACACAAUGACCGGUGCUCUGUGAUACGUCUUCUACGAGUCGAGUUGUUUGGGAAUGCAGCUCAAAAUGGGUGGUGAGUUCCAUCUAAAGCUAAAUAUUGGCGAGAGACCGAUAGCGAACAAGUACCGUGAGGGAAAGAUGAAAAGCACUUUGGAAAGAGAGUUAAACAGUACGUGAAAUUGUUAAAAGGGAAACGAUUGAAGUCAGUCGUGACUGAGAGGCUCAGCCGGUUCUGCCGGUGUAUUCCCCUCAGUCGGGUCAACAUCAGUUUUGUUCGGUGGAUAAGGGCAGUUGGAAGGUGGCACCCUCGGGUGUGUUAUAGCCAGCUGUCGCAUACAUCGGAUGAGACUGAGGAAUGCAGCUCGCCUUUAUGGCCGGGGUUCGCCCACGUUCGAGCUUAGGAUGUUGACAUAAGGCUUUAAACGCG
rnacentral:rRNA from 1 species